CCUACGGGGGGCAGCAGUGAGGAAUAUUGGUCAAUGGACGAGAGUCUGAACCAGCCAAGUAGCGUGAAGGAUGACUGCCCUAUGGGUUGUAAACUUCUUUUAUAUGGGAAUAAAAUGUUCCACGUGUGGGAUUUUGUAUGUACCAUAUGAAUAAGGAUCGGCUAACUCCGUGCCAGCAGCCGCGGGAAUACGGAGGAUCCGAGCGUUAUCCGGAUUUAUUGGGUUUAAAGGGAGCGUAGGUGGAUUGUUAAGUCAGUUGUGAAAGUUUGCGGCUCAACCGUAAAAUUGCAGUUGAAACUGGCAGUCUUGAGUACAGUAGAGGUGGGCGGAAUUCGUGGUGUAGCGGUGAAAUGCUUAGAUAUCACGAAGAACUCCGAUUGCGAAGGCAGUUCACUGGACUGCAACUGACACUGAGGCUCGAAAGUGUGGGUAUCAAACAGGAUUAGAUACCCCUGUAGUC
rnacentral:rRNA from 1 species